GCGGGGCCGCGGGGACUUGGGUGACAAUGCCACCCCCCCCAGGAGGAACUCAGUGUGCCCCUGUCCCCUCCUCACCCUGUGCGCCCCAGCCCUGUCGGGGACCACAAGGGGUCGCGGGCGCUGGGCCGGACCGCUCCUAGGUCUGCAUGAAACCCUGGCUCUUGCGCGGGGGCUUCCCACCCACCCUGUCCCUUGCCAGGGCUCAGGUGAAGUGGGUCAGAAGAGAAGACACCUCCAGGCCGCGCGGCGCGGGAGGAGCCUGCGGAGGGCACGGUCCGGACCCGGGUCCGCAUCCUCGCAGCCCCAGGCCCUGAAUGCCAGAAGCCCCAUGGAGCUCAGAGCACCCACCGGCUGCAGCAGGGACCUUCAGAAGCAGCAGCCAAGACCAAGGAAGAAGCCUCAGACCACAAAGACCCAAACCAGAGACAGGGAACCAUAAUGUGGGCUAAGUCAGACUUAACAGAGGAAGUGCCUGGAGAUCAGCAGCUGGACAGAGCUCCUUCCUGCCAAGGAGGCAUUGGUUGCCAGUGGCUCUGAAGAAUCGAGGGACAGCUGUGGACCCAGGGGCAUCUCUGACCCUUCACUCAUCCCACCUGGUCUCCCUUGGGCAGCAGAUCUGAAUCUGGCCCUCAUUAACUAUUGUUAGCUUGGCUAGUGCCACCCCUCUAGCCUGGCCUCCCUGCCUCCAGCCUCACCUUCUGACAUCACAUCCUGCUGUCACGCCUGUGUCCCCAAGGCACAACCCUCCUCAUGCCCAGGUCCCCUCCAAAAGCUCCAAAACUCCUGAUGACGACAUCACAAAGAAUCAAGUCCAAGUUCUGAGGCCUGGUGUUCAAGGUGCCUCAACUUCCCUCCCUGACCUGACCUUAUCUCCCACUGGUCCUCCCAUUCUCCCUCCCACCUCCAGCCAAACAGGAUUUCACUCAUCUCCGUCAGGAGCAGGGCCUCCCUCCUCCACCCUGGGCUCUCACCAUCUCUCCCCGUCCAGAUUCAAACUGUCCCUUUAGGACAAGUAAGUAAAUAGAGGUUACAAAAUCUCCUUUGCAUAGUGUGACCCCAGUUUUGUUAAAAUAUACACACAUGUAUUUACUUAUGCAAAGAAAUAAAAAGA